ensembl:lncRNA
GUGACACAGACAGGCGACAUCGUCACUGAGCACCAACUUCUAUUACACCCAGGCAGACGGCGAGAACCGCAUCAGAACCUCGGCGAGACAGGAGAGGAGCAAAGGGGUAGCUGCAAAGUUUUGGACAAGACCUCUGCCGGGACUGGAAGCACAGUGUACCCAGGUGAUUAGCCCUGAGCUAACAUCUGCUGCCAAUCCUCCUCUUUUUGCUGAGGAAGACGGGCCCUGAGCUAACAUCCGUGCGCAUCUGCCUCUACUUUAUAUGUGGGACGCCUACGACACCAUGGCUUGACAAGCGGUGUGUAGGUCUGCACCCAGGACCCGAACCAGUGAACCCCAGGCCACGGAAGCGGAACAUGUGAACUUAACCACUGCAGCACCAGUCCCCCUCAAGUUGGUUACUUUUAAGCACCAAAACCCAAUUCUUUCUUAUGUUUAAAUAUUUAGAUGAAUAGCAAGGCAAUUUAUCCUGCACUCGGCAAAUUAUGUCUCAACCAAAGUCUACAAUCGUCCUGGCUCCUCACAUUCACAGCAGAAUGUUCUGAGAAUCCAGAUGGUCCAGUGAGUGUCUGGGGCACAGAAGGUAAAGGGCCUAGGGAUCUUAGGAGGAAAAGAAAAUGCUGAGGGGAGCAAACUCUCUCACCAUCACUGAGAGAACAAACCUGAUGGAGAUCAAAAUGUAUUUGUCCAUAGAGCCCAUCCAUCUACUUCUUUUCUUCUGUUCUUAAAGAAAAAUAGACAUAUGUAAAUCUAAAGAAAGUAGUUUUGAAAAAACUUUUGGCAAUACAGAGUAUAAUUACAGCCUGUUGGAGAUCAAAAGAUCACCAUGCCUGCCCCCUGCUACCCUUUGCUGCCGCUUGCUUGCUCGGGAAGAGGCUUCCUCUCCCCCAAGCCCGGCACGCAGCUCUCUCUCCUUCAGUCUAUUCUUGGCUGUGGAGUCCCCUGUGCUCUUUCUGCACUUUAAGUUUAAUUUUGCAUUUAAAAACUCAAUUGGCUCAUCUGUUAAGCAUUAAGCAGCUCCCUUUUGAGCCACAGGGGGAGCCCUGGGAAAACCCACAGCUGCUGGAACAUGGAAAAUGGGUUUAAAAAAACAAAACCAUUUUGAAACUUUAAAGCAUUUUAGCAGCCGUGGAUUUCCCAAUCCUUACCCCCCAAAUGGUUCAUCUGUUUAACUUUUAUCUGGUAUUGGAAAACACAAACCAGAGCAUUAAAUAGCCCUCAAAUGACUUUUUGUUUAAUACAAAAUGAAAGUAAAAGCUAAGCAAGCCAUGUGGGAGGAUCUUUUGGAGAGCUAUGGCCUGGAAUACCUGCAAGCAUAUUCUCCCUCCACUAACAGAAACAGUUCCGAAACCCAGGCAUGCCUGCUAGAGCCACAGCCUUUCCUCCACCCACUUAGACACACCCCCCCAAAAAGGGGGAGGAAACAAGUCUGAUUCUCAGCUUCUAAAAUGGCAAUAAAUUGAUGGAAAAGUUAAUAGGAUGAGAAUAUUAGUGAAAUGCUCAAUCAAGAUUUGAAGUUUCAUAAUGAUUUGUCAUUGACUAUUGAUUACAUUGGAUAGGCUCUAGAUAAAUUUAAAUAUCCCUUUUUCCCCACGUUCCCCAAAUAUUCCUCUGGCUAACCUGAAGUCUCCCUGUGGUAGAAUCCCAAGUCCCAUGGUUAGAUACCAAUUCCUCUGAAUGAUGGUAAGACGCUCCUGUUAAAACCAAAAUAUUCUUUGGAAGAUUGACAGCAGUAAACUUAUUUUUUACUAUUAAUACCUAAUAGAGGCAAAAGUCCCACAUUGCAAAACAAAAUAAUGCAACGCUGUGUAAAUAGAAGAGGUGAAAAAGAGAUGUUUGAAUCAGGGGAAACUACCCAAGGAAAUUUCUUCAACCUGGGUGGAACCUGCAAUGAGAAGUCCAGUGUGACCAAGGGAUCGAGGGUGUAGGCACUGGAGCACGGGAGUGAAGAAAAGACCUAAGAUACAUCAGUCCCUACUAAGGGCUAUCCUGUGUUAAGAAAAGACAACAGGCCCAAAAUGUGUUACAGAAACCAAAGAGAAUUCACCUCCUAGCGAGUUAAAUCAGACUCUCUACCAGAAGUAGUUGUCUCACAAAGUAAAGUAUACUUGUGGCAAAUGGGAGACCAUACGGUAUCAUUUCCAGAGUCAAGGCCCCCCGAACAAUGGGAAACAGGGACGGUUAUUUGGCAGGGGGAAUGAAUAUUCAAACAGGAGAGAUGGGUAUUCACUUGUGCAGGCUCAGCUGGAAAACAUGCUUCCACAUACACUGCAGGUUGUGGUCAUGAGGUCUAAGCUCCUCCUGGAGAGAUCUCAGUACUACAAAUAAGGCAAAGGUCAUAGGCGUAGCUUUUGUGGUGAGGCUUGGUCUGGUUCAGGGUGGUUGGUGGUUGCAUCUCCUUAACACAACAAAAGGAAAAAAAAAAAAGCUAUUUGGAAAAGAGUUAAAUGCUUCCAAAUCCCCACUCUUGAGUUCCUCAGGGCAACUUGCUGGUGACAAAUGGAGUCGCUUAUGCUAAACUCCACAUCAUCAAACCAAGACUUAACUUAAUUACAACUUUGGCUCUCCCAGAAAUGGAAACUUAAACCAGUCAAUUAGGAAUCGCCUGAUCAGCAUUAGUUGGGUCAUCUGCCUGACAGACCCCUGCUGUUCCUUAAAGGAAAGUAAACUUGCAGUAACCAACUCGCUUUUUUGCCUGGUCUAACUUCCUUGUUCCUGCUCCCUUCCACCUAUAGAAGUUUUGCAUUUUGUACAGCUCCUCGGGGCUCCUUUCUAUCUGUUAAACAGGAUGCUCCCAAUUCAAGUCGAGUUUUUCUCAAAUAAACUCUUAAAAUUUUUAAUAUGCUUCGGUUUAUCUUUUGACACCUCACUGAAGAGAGGAAAGGGAAAAAUCCAUGUGGGGGAAGAGGCAUAAUCACAAGGAAGUUGGGGAGACACCAGAGAAACUCUUCACUAACUUCUUUGCAUGGCUCAGGUCCUGAUGAGAAUCACUGAAUUCUCGUAUAGAACUUGCACUUUUUUAACCCACAGGAUUAUGAUAGUCCAAAUCAGAUGAAUAAAUGAAGUCCAGAAUAUUUUUCAUCCAAAAUUCCUCAUUCUAUUUGACAAAUAAAAAUGGCAAGCAAUAGGAUAUAUUGGAGAAUAUGAGGAAGCCAUUUGGUGUAAACCUAAUUCGGCCUGACCUUGUCUUUCCAAAAGGGCCUGACCGAGGCCAUUGAGCAUGCAUUGUAUAUCUGCUUUAGAGAUUCCCUAUGGCAGGAGCAAAAGGCCCUUGAGAUAAAGGUGCAACUUCUCUCCCCCUCCCAACGUUGGC